GGUGUUCUGGCUAUCCCGGAUAAGUACGAUUCUUAUUAUCAUAGUAUUUUCCCCGUUUUUUAGUUUCUUUGUAUUUUCAGAUAAAUCUUUGGUCGAUGGAAUGUUGAUGGAUGAACAUGGAUCUCCCCUUGACUUUAAACGGAUGGUCAGUGUUGUGACGCAACAAAGUGAAGUAACCAAUGAACAGGAUGCCGCUGGUCAGAAACAAGAGCCUGAAAACAAAAUAAUUGAAGAUGAAACAAUGGAAUUAGGACGUGUAAGAUU
rnacentral:lncRNA from 1 species